rnacentral:rRNA from 1 species
UACGUAGGGUGCAAGCGUUAAUCGGAAUUACUGGGCGUAAAGCGUGCGCAGGCGGUUGUGUAAGACAGAUGUGAAAUCCCCGGGCUCAACCUGGGAACUGCAUUUGUGACUGCACGGCUGGAGUGCGGCAGAGGGGGAUGGAAUUCCGCGUGUAGCAGUGAAAUGCGUAGAUAUGCGGAGGAACACCGAUGGCGAAGGCAAUCCCCUGGGACGGCACUGACGCUCAGGCACGAAAGCGUGGGGAGCAAACAGG